GAUGAACGCUGGCGGCGUGCCUAAUACAUGCGAGUCGAGCGAACGGACGAGAAGCUUGCUUCUCUGAUGUUAGCGGCGGACGGGUGAGUAACACGUGGAUAACCUACCUAUAAGACUGGGAUAACUUCGGGAAACCGGAGCUAAUACCGGAUAAUAUUUUGAACCGCAUGGUUCAAAAGUGAAAGACGGUCUUGCUGUCACUUAUAGAUGGAUCCGCGCUGCAUUAGCUAGUUGGUAAGGUAACGGCUAACCAAGGCAACAAUGCAUAGCCGACCUGAGAGGGUGAUCGGCCACACUGGAACUGAGACACGGUCCAGACUCCUACGGGAGGCAGCAGUAGGGAAUCUUCCGCAAUGGGCGAAAGCCUGACGGAGCAACGCCGCGUGAGUGAUGAAGGUCUUCGGAUCGUAAAACUCUGUUAUUAGGGAAGAACAUAUGUGUAAGUAACUGUGCACAUCUUGACGGUACCUAAUCAGAAAGCCACGGCUAACUACGUG
rnacentral:rRNA from 1 species